UACGGAGGGGGGCUAGCGUUGUUCGGAAUUACUGGGCGUAAAGCGCACGUAGGCGGCUUUGUAAGUUAGAGGUGAAAGCCCGGGGCUCAACUCCGGAAUUGCCUUUAAGACUGCAUCGCUAGAAUUGUGGAGAGGUAAGUGGAAUUCCGAGUGUAGAGGUGAAAUUCGUAGAUAUUCGGAGGAACACCAGUGGCGAAGGCGGCUCACUGGUCCGGUACUGACGCUGAGGUGCGAAAAGCGUGGGGGAGCAAACAGG
rnacentral:rRNA from 1 species